rnacentral:rRNA from 1 species
AACGAACGCUGGCGGCAUGCCUAACACAUGCAAGUCGAACGAUGCCUUCGGGCAUAGUGGCGCACGGGUGCGUAACGCGUGGGAAUCUGCCCUUGGGUUCGGAAUAACUCAGAGAAAUUUGAGCUAAUACCGGAUGAUGACGUAAGUCCAAAGAUUUAUCGCCCAAGGAUGAGCCCGCGUAAGAUUAGCUAGGUGGCGGGGUAACGGCCCACCAAGGCGACGAUGUCUAGCUGGUCUGAGAGGAUGAUCAGCCACACUGGGACUGAGACACGGCCCAGACUCCUACGGGAGGCAGCAGUAGGGAAUAUUGGACAAU